GACGAACGCUGGCGGCGUGCUUAACACAUGCAAGUCGAACGGUGAAGCGCCUUCCUUUUUGGUGGGUGUGGAUGAGUGGCGAACGGGUGAGUAACACGUGAGUAACCUGCCCCCUUCUUCUGGAUAACCGCAUGAAAGUGUGGCUAAUACGGGAUAUUCUGGGUCUGUCGCAUGAUGGGUCUGGGAAAGAUAUUGUUUCGGUGGGGGAUGGGCUCGCGGACUAUCAGGUUGUGGGUGGGGUGAUGGCCUACCAAGGCGGUGAGGGGUAGCCGGCCUGAGAGGAUGGGCGGCACCACAGGGGAGGCGCGACGGAGAAGACUCCUAGGGGCGGCAGCAGUGAGUAAUAGUGCAUGAGGGGAGCAAGGCUGAUGCAGCGACGCCGGGGGAGGGAUGGAGGUCUUCGGGUUGUGAACCUCUUUCGCCAGUGAAGCAGGCCUGCCUCGUUUGUGGGUGGGUUGACGGUAGCUGGAUAAGAAGCGCCGGCUAACUACGUG
rnacentral:rRNA from 1 species